GUUCCCAUGCCGAACACGGAAGUUAAGCUCUCCAGCGCCGAUGAUAGUUGGGGGAUCUCCCCCUGUGAAAGUAGGACGUCGCUGGGC
rnacentral:rRNA from 1 species